rnacentral:rRNA from 1 species
ACAGUCACACAUUAGAUACCCGUGUAGUCCUAGCCGUAAACGAUACUCGCUAGGUGUCGGCCACGGUGCGACCGUUGUCGGUGCCGUAGGGAAGCCGUGAAGCGAGCCACCUGGGAAGUACGGCCGCAAGGCUGAAACUUAAAGGAAUUGGCGGGGGAGCACCACAACGGGUGGAGCUUGCGGUUUAAUUGGAUUCAACGCCGGAAAUCUUACCGGGACCGACAGCAACAUGAAGGCCAGGCUGAAGACUUUGCCGGAUUAGCUG